AUUGAACGCUGGCGGCAGGCUUAACACAUGCAAGUCGAGCGGAGAUGAGGUGCUUGCACCUUAUCUUAGCGGCGGACGGGUGAGUAAUGCUUAGGAAUCUGCCUAUUAGUGGGGGACAACAUUCCGAAAGGAAUGCUAAUACCGCAUACGCCCUACGGGGGAAAGCAGGGGAUCUUCGGACCUUGCGCUAAUAGAUGAGCCUAAGUCGGAUUAGCUAGUUGGUGGGGUAAAGGCCUACCAAGGCGACGAUCUGUAGCGGGUCGGAGAGGAUGAUCCGCCACACUGGGACUGAGACACGGCCCAGACUCCUACGGGAGGCAGCAGUGGGGAAUAUUGGACAAUGGGGGGAACCCUGAUCCAGCCAUGCCGCGUGUGUGAAGAAGGCCUUAUGGUUGUAAAGCACUUUAAGCGAGGAGGAGGCUACUGAGACUAAUACUCUUGGAUAGUGGACGUUACUCGCAGAAUAAGCACCGGCUAACUCUGUGCCAGCCGCCGCCGUAAAAC
rnacentral:rRNA from 1 species